rnacentral:rRNA from 1 species
UACGUAGGGGGCGAGCGUUGUCCGGAUUUAUUGGGCGUAAAGAGCGUGUAGGCGGCCAGACAGGUCCGUUGUGAAAACUAGAGGCUUAACCUCUAGACGUCGAUGGAAACCGUCUGGCUAGAGUCCGGAAGAGGAGAAUGGAAUUCCUGGUGUAGCGGUGAAAUGCGCAGAUAUCAGGAAGAACACCCGUGGCUAAGGCGGUUCUCUAGUACGGUACUGACGCUGAGAACGCGAAAGCGUGGGGAGCAAACGGG